ensembl:lncRNA
ACCUGACCAUCUCAGUCUUCCCCGACUAUACUGCUAUGGUAGCAUGGGCUUGUGCUGCAUUCAACACGGUCAGGCAGCAAUUCCAUGGCAUUGAAGGUGUUCGGUAUGGCCUGUUUCAUCUAGUGCGACUUCUCAUCACACAUAAGGGUGUUGAGAAGGACUUUGUUUCAGCGGAGGAAGCCAGUAAUUAUGUCAAAACUUUGAUCUCUGGGUGAGCUUCAAUAGCCAUUCAGUUUGGUACUGUAAUGCUACUAAGGGUUUACGCUCUCGUUAGGUUUAACGCUUCCUGUGCAUCAUUUUCUUAGGGCGUUGCGCUAGUUAUUGUACUGUUGGUCUGCUGUUUCAUUUUAUUUUCAUUGUUAUAUAAUGAGACUAAAUCCUAUGUUAUACUCAUGUACUUCGGAUCAGUCCAGCACAAUAUUUUCUAAGCUUACUGCAUUGAUUUGCACAGGACUCGUUUUGUUUUGUUUUUUUAUGCACUUCUGUUGUAGUUGUUUUUUGUUAAAUGUUCAGCAACAACGGGGGUGUUUUGUUUUGUUUUGUACAUGUUUAUUGUUGUGCGCACACUGUUAUACAGUAGGGAAGGUGGCGGGAGUGUUUUUCUCUCUUGUUUUUACUUUUAUUCAGGCUCCAGUUAGUCCAGUCACUUUGGUGAAUCAUUUUUGCUACUUUGGGGUACACUGCUGUCUCCUUUGUUCUGUUCUGUGGAGACCUGUGUUAGGAUGCCUGGGUCGUUGACCCAGGGUUUUUGAGUUUAUUAUAGUAUUUAUAAUUUCUAGUCUUUGGUUUCUUUGAGUUCUGUCUUAUGGUUUAUGUCUCUGUCUUCUCUAGUUGCUCUGUCUCCCCUGUCAGCUGUAUCCCUUGUCUAGUUCAUGUCUCUGUGUAUCCUUAGUUGCUAUAUCCCCGUGUCCAGUCAGUGUCUGUGUCUGCCCUGGUCCCACGUCUCUGUUCCCUCUGUUGUAGUGCCUGCAUGUGAGUCUGUGUCUUUUGUUCAGUCUGUGUUAUGGGUUUCCUGUUUUACUUUGAAAGUCCAUGUCUGAUGUUAAUGUGUCUGGUUUUGCUUCCCCUUGUCUCGUUAGGCCUGAUUUGCCCCAGCUGUGUUUCCCUCCUGUUACCCAUUCCCUGAUUGCUUCCUCUGUGUAUUUAAGCCCUGUGUUUCUCUGUGUCUGUGUCGCGAUCUACUGUUUAUUUGGCUGUGUGUUCUGUCAGUCCUCUGGUUUAAGUUUAUUUUGAUUUUUUUUUUCCCCAGUUAUGUUAUAUUUUGAGUUUUACAUUAAAGCUGUUUUGAGUUCACGACUGUCUCCGGAGUCUGCACCUUGGGUCCUAUUCCUGUCUGCACACAGCCACACAUAACAACCUGGGGUGUAUUUGUUUCCAGGGUUAUUGGGGGGGGCUGUCUCUUUUCGGCUCUUUACGGCCACUGGCAUUUUAGUUGUUGUUGUGUUUUGUUUAUUUAUUCUUCUUUAUGAAUGGCUAAUGGCAAUAUACACCCCAGCAUUGUUGGGUCAAGCAUAGGGAUGGGUACCGGUAUCCGGUGCCAUAAUGGCACCGGUUCUGACAUAAACAGUAGUAACCAGACCAAAAAGCAGCGCACAUUUCGGUGCUUUUUUUUUUCCUGAGAUGUCAUACACUUUGGAUUCCAGCCAAUCAUUCUACGUUUGUGAGCGUAGUAGGUGGGCCCAGGUACGUACGUUCUUUUAGAGCAGAGCUACAGAUUAAAAAUGCCCAAAGCAAAGCGGUCAAAGUCUGGCUGUACUUUACAGCAAAAGAUGCAAACUCAGCAGCCUGCAACAAGUGCU